AAGAGCUCUAGCAGGACUACUCCAAAGCUGUAAACGUCUGCUUUCUGGCUCACCUUCGCUGAUUCUGCAAGACAUAGAAAGGCAUUUCAAGGUGAGAACUUGAAAAGUUGAUGAAGCUCUUUUAACUAACUAGUGCGUACCAGGUGCUGUGUAGCCGAAGGAUCUGUUCAAGCAGGACAAGUUUCUCGAGUCCCCGAUGAGCUUGGCUAGUCCGACAUCCGCAAUGCGAGCGCCAAACGCCGAGUCUAGAAGUACGUUGUUGGACUUGAUGUCGCAGUGCACGAUUGAGUACUGAUGGUGCAAAUAUGACAGGCCUUGAGCAGCUCCCACGGCAAUUUUGUACCGGGUGUUCCAGUGAAGCUUGGGUCCCGAAGGCCUGUGGAGUGCCUCGGCAAGGCUCUUGUUGGGCAUGUACUCGUAGAGGAAGAUUUUUGCGCCUUUGUAGACGAGGAAAUCCUCCAGCUUCAC
rnacentral:lncRNA from 1 species